GGAGAGAUGACAGAGUGGUCGAUUGUGCUCGCUUGGAAAGCGAGUGAGCGGGCAACCGUUCCGAGGGUUCGAAUCCCUCUCUCUCCGCCA
rnacentral:tRNA from 1 species